rnacentral:rRNA from 1 species
GAUGAACGCUGGCGGCGUGCCUAAUACAUGCAAGUCGAGCGAACGGACGAGAAGCUUGCUUCUCUGAUCUUAGCGGCGGACGGGUGAGUAACACGUGGAUAACCUACCUAUAAGACUGGGAUAACUUCGGGAAACCGUAGCUAAUACCGGAUAAUAUUUUGAACCGCAUGGUUCAAAAGUGAAAGACGGUCUUGCUGUCACUUAUAGAUGGAUCCGCGCUGCAUUAGCUAGUUGGUAAGGUAACGGCUUACCAAGGCAACGAUGCAUAGCCGACCUGAGAGGGUGAUCGGCCACACUGGAACUGAGACACGGUCCAGACUCCUACGGGAGGCAGCAGUAGGGAAUCUUCCGCAAAGGGCGAAAGCCUGACGGAGCAACGCCGCGUGAGUGAUGAAGGUCUUCGGAUCGUAAAACUCUGUUAUUAGGGAAGAACAUAUGUGUAAGUAACUGUGCACAUCUUGACGGUACCUAAUCAGAAAGCCACGGCUAACUACGUG